CACAAUGUGCCACAUACGAGCGAGCACGCAGCGUUCGAUCCCAGCCCAGCCUGCGGCUCCGAGGCAGCGCAUAUUAAAGGCAGGAGUGCGCAUGCGUCAAACUGCGGUAACAGGGGACGAGCUACCGCGGGACGCAUGCGCACUGCGUGCCCAUCACAUGAGAACAGACGGUGUGAAACCUCCGGAGCAGGAGACGACAGCCGCGGAGAAGCCAUUACGGUGGACACCUCCACCAUGACCGGCCGCUCGUGGAGAGCGUCCUCAUGUGGGAUUCUACUCGACAAACGAACUCACCUUAAUAAUCCGUCGGGAGUACAAUGAUCGAUUUGGGUGGAUCGACUAAACACCAGAUCUAAACGUCCCAGACCUGCUGGAUUUAUCCUGGAAUCUGGACCCGCCAUUGUGUCCACUGUCGUUUCACAAGCUUUACGGGAGGAAGGGACUGAUAUCAAACCAUCUCCAUCACAAACCCUCUCAUGGAAUAUGUUUCUGUCCGCUCUCAAUAAAGACUAAUGGGCAUAAGACCGGCGUCAGUGUGUGGACAGAGCCGGUCCCGGGUGUCUCACUGUUGCAAGAAUCCAGAAUAUAUCAGUCUGUAAAUGACUAAUGUUCCCUCAUUAAAAACAUUGGCGCGGGU